CCUACGGGAGGCAGCAGUGAGGAAUAUUGGUCAAUGGCCGGAAGGCUGACCCAGCCAAGCCGCGUGAAGGACGAAGGUGCCAAGCAUUGUACACUUCUUUUGUCAAGGGACAAAAUCAGGCUCGAGAGCCUGACCGCGGGUACUUGAAGAAAAAUCAUCGUCUAACUCCGUGCCAGCAGCAGCGGUAAUACGGAGGAUGCGAGCGUUAUCCGGAUUUAUGGGGUUUAAAGGGGGCGUAGGAGGACUGUUAAGUCAGCGGUAAAAGCCCGGGGCUCAACCCAGGCGAGCCGUUGAACCUGGCUGUCUUGAGAUGUCGAGAGGUAUGCGGAAUGCGCAGUGUAGCGGUGAAAUGCUUAGAUAUUGCGCAGAACUCCGAUUGCGAAGGCAGCAUACCGGCGGCGAUCUGACGCUGAGGCACGAAAGCGUGGGUAUCGAACAGGAUUAGAUACCCCGGUAAUC
rnacentral:rRNA from 1 species